UUGGAGCAUGUGCGAUUUCUAUAUCAACCAUGCGAUAUGUUGCAAAAUGUCCAGAGGAUGAGGAGUCAUGGGCGAAAGCAGCAGAAAAAUUAAAUUGUGGGUCUAUUACUCAGUCAUGUGCAGAAUCCAUGGAAUCCUCUUUCAAGAUUCAAAAUUACAUUUUUCAAUACCAUUGUGUAAUAAACGCUUGGCGAAACGCAACUAUGGAAGUAUGUGCACUUAAUCGUACAAUAUUAGGUUUUUGCGCCGAGUUUAAUAUACACGGAGCGGUCAUUCAGGAUAAUUACGAUGCAGACUGUAAACAGCAUUCCCCACCUUGUCCAACGAGUUAUAAUUCAGCUGAGGCUUAUAAAUAUCCAUCAUGCUAUGAGAUGACACAAAGGAACAGAAA